CCCUUAGAUGUUCUGGGCCGCACGCGCGCUACACUGAUGCAUUCAACGAGUUUCUUCCUGGUCCGAGAGGAAUGGGUAACCUUUUGAAAGUGCAUCGUGAUAGGGAUAGACUAUUGCAAUUAUUGGUCUUCAACGAGGAAUUCCUAGUAGACGUAGUUCAUCAGACUGCAUCGAUUACGUCCCUGCCCUUUGUACACACCGCCCGUCGCUCCUACCGAUUGAGUGCUCAGGUGAGCCAUUCGGACCUUCAUCAUGCCGGUCUCCGGUUUUGAUGAGGGAAAGUCUUGCGAACCUUAUCAUUUAGAGGAAGGAGAAGUCGUAACA
rnacentral:rRNA from 1 species